rnacentral:lncRNA from 1 species
AGUUAGAGUGGAAUUUAUUACAGUAGCGUUAUCACACCACCCUACAAGGCUUCUUCACUUUUGGCCAUCCACAGCAGCCCUAGGCCUCAGUAAAUCUUGCAUCACAAUGAAUAACAAGCCUGGAUAGAAGGAAAUCCUCUAGGAUUGUAGGAAUGCAGGGCUGAGGAUGGGGGCUGAGGAAUGAUUUCACCUCAGCCUGCCUUCUCCGCUCUAUCAUACUCUUCUUCCUCAGCAACCAGAGUACCCAGCCUGCCUGCUGAAUGUUGCCAAAAUGAUGAAGGAAAAUAUUCCUUUGCCCUUACCACUAUUUAUGAUUCUUGUGUGACAAAAUAAAAGCUGGUCUGUACAGAAAUGCAGGAAAAAUUUUGCUCUUC